ACGGGAGGCAGCAGUGAGGAAUAUUGGUCAAUGGACGAGAGUCUGAACCAGCCAAGUAGCGUGCAGGAUGACGGCCCUAUGGGUUGUAAACUGCUUUUGUACGGGAAUAAAGUGACCUACGUGUAGGUUUUGCAUGUACCGUAAGAAUAAGGACCGGCUAAUUCCGUGCCAGCAGCCGCGGUAAUACGGAAGGUCCGGGCGUUAUCCGGAUUUAUUGGGUUUAAAGGGAGCGUAGGCCGUGCUUUAAGCGUGUUGUGAAAUGUGGGCGCCCAACGUCUGCACUGCAGCGCGAACUGGAGCACUUGAGUACGCAGGAAGUAGGCGGAAUUCGUCGUGUAGCGGUGAAAUGCUUAGAUAUGACGAAGAACUCCGAUUGGGAAGCCAGCUACUGUAGCGCCACUGACGCUGAUGCUCGAAAGCGUGGGUAUCGAACAGGAUUAGAUACCCUGGUA
rnacentral:rRNA from 1 species